rnacentral:misc_RNA from 1 species
GAAAUGCGAUAAGUAGUGUGAAUUGCAGAAUUCAGUGAAUCAUCGAAUCUUUGAACGCACAUUGCGCCCCUUGGUAUUCCAUGGGGCAUGCCUGUUCGAGCGUCAUCUACACCCUCAAGCUCUGCUUGGUGUUGGGCGUCUGUCCCGCCCCCGCGCGUGGACUCGCCCCAAAUCCAUUUGCAGCGUUCCUUGCCCCCUCUCGCGCAGCACAUUGCGCUUCUCGAGGGCGGCUCCGGGACGCGAUCCAGCAAGAUGACCACCGUCUUUGACCUCGGAUCAGGUAGGGAUACCCGCUGAACUUAAGC